ACUAAUUCAGUAAAAGACACUGGGGCCUCAUGUACAAAGCGUGCGUACACACAAAAACCUGUCGUACGCCCGUCUCCACGUCCACGUGCAGAUGUAUCGAAAGUGA